CGCGACGAGGAAAUCUUUUAGUUACAUUACAUCGUUGGCCUUCUUCCUGUGACAGAGAAAGUUAUGGACACGGUAGAGGCUGCCGAGAGGAGUUCCCUUGCUGCAACCUCCAAUGGUAUUUCCGGUGCAGUGUCCAAGAGGGGGAGGUUCAGACUUCAGAGCAAUGAUAACAAGGGGUUGAAUGUGGAAUUUGAGGAGAAU